CAUGGCCUUUUGAAUAUAAUUUAAGGUCUAACCUGCCCAAUGAGGAUUUAAAUGGCCGCGGUAUUUUGACCGUGCAAAGGUAGCAUAAUCAUUAGUUUUUUAAUUGAAAGCUGGAAUGAAAGGUUGGAUGAGAAAUAAGCUGUCUCUAUUUAAUUUUAUUAGAAUUUUAUUUUUAAGUAAAAAAGCUUAAAUUUUAAUAGAAGACGAGAAGACCCUAUAGAGUUUUAUUUAUUUUUUAAAUAAAAUUAAUAGUAUUAAUUAUUUUUAUUUAAAAUAUAAAUUUAGUUGGGGUGAUUGAAAAAUUUAAUAAACUUUUUUUAUAUGUAUACAUUAAUAUAUGAUUAAUUGAUCCUUAAUUUAAGAUUAAAAGAUAAAAUUACCUUAGGGAUAACAGCGUAAUUUUUUUUGAGAGUUCUAAUCGAAAAAAAAGAUUGCGACCUCGAUGUUGGAUUAAAAUAAAAUUUUGGUGUAGAAGCUAAAAUAUUUAGGUCUGUUCGACCUUUAAAAUUUUACUUGAUC
rnacentral:rRNA from 1 species